GAUGAAGAACGCAGCGAAAUGCGAUAAGUAAUGUGAAUUGCAGAAUUCAGUGAAUCAUCGAAUCUUUGAACGCACAUUGCGCCCCCUGGUAUUCCGGGGGGCAUGCCUGUCCGAGCGUCAUUGCAACCCUCAAGCUCAGCUUGGUGUUGGGCCCCGCCGCCCCGGCGGGCCCUAAAGUCAGUGGCGGUGCCGUCCGGCUCCGAGCGUAGUAAUUCUUCUCGCUCUGGAGGUCCGGUCGUGUGCUCGCCAGCAACCCCCAAUUUUUUUCAGGUUGACCUCGGAUCAGGUAGGGAUACCCGCUGAACUUAAGCAUAUCAAUAAGCGGAGGA
rnacentral:misc_RNA from 1 species